GGUCAACGCAAGGAGGCAACAAUGGGACUUACGAAUUCCUUCAAUGUCCUUCUGGUCAGUGCAGCAUUUGUGUUCAUCGCAACCAUGCUUUUUAUCUAGGGGAAAGUCG
rnacentral:ncRNA from 1 species